CUCAGUAAAUUUUCCUGUUUCUACGUACGGAUUCGUACAUAUUUUUUGAACAAUCAAAAUAUGUGUAUUCGUGCGUAGCAAUAGGGGGGUUUGGUGCA
rnacentral:pre_miRNA from 1 species